CCUACGGGAGGCAGCAGUGGGGAAUAUUGGGCAAUGGGCGCAAGCCUGACCCAGCAACGCCGCGUGAAGGAAGAAGGCCCUCGGGUUUUAAACCUCUUUUCUCAGGGACGAAGAAAGUGACGGUACCGGAGGAAUAAGCCACGGCUAACUACGUGCCAGCAGCCGCGGUAAUACGUAGGUGGCAGGCGUUAUCCGGAUUUACUGGGUGUAAAGGGUGUGUAGGCGGGGAAGGAAGUCAGAUGUGAAAACCACGGGCUCAAACUGUGGCCUGCAUUUGAAACUGUUUUUCUUGAGUGCUGGAGAGGCAGGCGGAAUUCGUGGUGUAGCGGUGAAAUGCGUAGAUAUCACGAAGAACACCGAUGGCGAAGGCAGUAUGCUGGACCGCGACUGACGCUGAAGCGCGAAAGCGUGGGGAGCGAACAGGAUUAGAUACCCCUGUAGUC
rnacentral:rRNA from 1 species